AUUGAACGCUGGCGGCAGGCCUAACACAUGCAAGUCGAGCGGAGGAAGGGAGCAUUCUUCUGGAUUCAGUGGCGGACGGACGGGUAAUGCCUGGGAAUCGGCCUGGCCUUGGGGGGUAACGUCCCGAAACGGGCCCUAAUAUCGCAUACGAUCUGAGGGUGAAAGUGGAGGAUCAUGGGACCUCGCGCUAUCUGCUUAGCCUAGGUCGGAUUAGCUAGUUGGUGGGGUAAAGGCCUACCAAGGCGACGAACCGUAACUUGUCAGAUAGGAUGACCAGUAAAAUGGGAACUGAGAAACGGUCAAGACUCCUCGGGGAGGAAGCAGAGGGGAAUUUUGGACAAUGGGCGAAAGCCGGCUGCAGAAAGGCGGGGGGUGUGAAGAAGUUUUUGGGAUGGUAAAGCACUUUAGGAUGGGAGGAAGGGCAGUAGGUUGAUACCUUGAUGUUUUGACGUUACCAACAGAAUAAGCACCGGCUAACUUCGUG
rnacentral:rRNA from 1 species